UAUCCACAAGAGUCUCAAUCAGAUAGAAAGCUUAAGUGAGAGGCUUAAAAUAAUCCUGAAGAUUGAAAUAUAAUAUUAAUUUUAUUCUUCAUUAUUAAAGGGUUAAGAUAGGAAUUAUAAAAGAUUCACUAACUUUUAAUUCCUUUCUCUCUAAAUCUGUUCGAUUUGAAGGAUAAAAAAGUUGCAGAAGAUUUGUAUUUCCACUGUUUCUCUCCUUUUCUUUAUCUUUCUUUCAUAAAAAAACUUUCAAUCAAAAGAAAAUAUUAACUUUCUCUCAUUCUUUUUUUUUCUCUCCUAUUCUUCUCUCCCAACCAAGGCGUAAAGUAUACUCAUUUAAACAUGUGGCUAAAAUAUAAGGAUCAGAAUAGUCGUUGAUGGAUGUGGGAAUCGGGGAGGCUGCCAUGCAUAGAGUUUUCAUGCCACCUUACCAUGAUCUAUAAAUUGGCAUGGAAUCACAGUUGGAGAGAUUCUAUCUCUUUGGUUGCUUGACAGAAAAAAUAUAUCAUUCCUAGUGUACUUCUGCACCUAGAAUGAGAGGAAAAUUGGCCAACGCCAAUGCCUUGAGUCCCUUAGCUUCUCCAAUUCCCUUCGCUUGCCUCCCCGAUGUUGUGGUGAUUGUACCAUUGACAUCUUUGAGGAGAAUUACUCUAGAACAUAUCAGAGGUUUGAGUAGCCAAUGGAGGAGAUAUGUUAACCAAGGGGUGACGAAGAGUGGUUAGAUGAGUGGAUAUAGACUAAUGGUUGGUCAUGGAGGACCAAAAGAUGCUUGUGAUACUUGGACACUUGCAUCUACCAAAAAAAAAUUAAUGUCAAAUAUGCAUUUGACUCAAGUACAUAUCAGACAUUUGGAUAUUUAUGAAGUUCGUUGCUAGCCGCUUAUAGAGAUUGGAGAAGCAUUUAGCUCUUUCAACAAUGAGUUUGAUCCUUUAUUUGGAUGUUAGGAGUGAUUAUUUGUUGUUUUUAGAGAUGGGUCAAGGAUAUAAGUAUCGAAAGAAAAUUGUGAGAUAUUAUUUUUCUUAUAUCCUUAACUUAACUGGGCCAUGUGAAUGAGAAACUUGUAUAUUGAAAAAAUUUAACAAAAUAGAUCUUUUUAAUACCAUAAUGUGUAAACAAUGUUUCAAAGGUACAAAUAUAUAAUUUAGUUGAAAUCAUAUUUUAUUCCAUGUAUCCCCAUAUAUCCUUUUCUCCCUCUCGUUGAGCUUGACAUGCGGACAUGUGUUGUAAUCCAAUUCUUGUAUUAGUGUCCAUGAAGCAUUGAUUGAUGCCACUUCUUGUGGGAUUAGCAUUGUUACUGCAAGGUUCAAAAUCUAGAGUAGCAUUGAUCAACUAGAGUGAGACUGAGCUGGAAUGAUUCUUGCGAUCUGGUGAGAAUUCUUUCAAUCUGUAAAAUCAGUCAAGAAAUCGGAUGGAGAUCUUUCGGUUCUUGACCCUCCAAUGCUUAAGUCAGUUCGAGCCUUGAGAACAUAGAUGAAAAAGAAUGGAAGAGCAAGAGAGAUUGAAUGAAACUAGAGGAGAACUGGGUGGAAGCCAAGAGUCUGGUUUAAUUUUCUACUGGCAAAGUCUCUCCUAAUUUCAGAGAGUAGAAUUACCGAUGGAGGAUCUCUGACCUUCUAUUUUUAGAGAGAUUGAAGAGGUCGUUCUAGAGUUUGUUAGACCAUUAGAGGAGUCUAUUAGAUGGUUAGAGAGUCACCUGUAAGUGAGCUGGCGUACAACUGUGCAUAUGAGCUGGACAUGAGAUUGUGGCCAGUAUGGCUUGGUUGAGGAAACUACCAUGAGUGUUCGUAGAACGAUUAAGUCCGUUAGCAUAAUAGUUCCCUCGGUAG
rnacentral:lncRNA from 1 species